UAAGCUGAAUUUCUGGGCUGGUAGUUUUAAUCAACAGUCUGCUGCUGCACGUGGAUGAACUCACUUCCAUGGCUCUUCCAAUUGGGGUUUCUUGGCUUUGCACUCUGUUGUUAUGGUGCUGCAUUUGUUUUCCUCCUGAAAAAGGUCACAUUGUUGCACAUGGCUACUUUUUCAAUGAUGGUGAAUUCAGUAGCCAUGGAGGUGUGCUUGGUCCACAAACAUCAAACCAGUUUCAUUCUGGACCAUCUUUAAACACAAACCAAGAAUCCGUUAGUCCAAGGGCUGGGAUGCAAGCUAUGAGGGACCAAAGCUUUGUUUCCCUUCAGAGAGAACCAGUCCAUGAAAACAAUGAAGAAGCUAGCUCCGUUACUAGCCUCAGUGAAGAGAUGGUACAACGCAAACCAGACUCCGAAAAGGAUGUCCCCUCCGGUGCCCCAAUGCAGAAAUAUGAGCGUGAAGGUUCUGACUCUCAACAACACCCCUUUGGCCUUUUAGUGAAACUGCACACACAAGAGAGAACUGUGGAGGGCACCAGUUUUCAAACAAUUAAAGAUUUCAACCGGUUUAUA